AUGGCAGAGGUGUGGCAGGAAGUCCUGCAGACAUCACUCCCGGAAGGUUUGCUGGUAGUGCUCAUGGUGUCAUCUGAAGUACGGCCAAAGCACAAGGUCAUACUCCUGCCAUUCUGUGCAUUAGGACCUGAUGAUGCUAGUAGGCUCACUGCUCUUGGGGAGAGGACUGAAGUCUCAAACUACGUAUUCCUCAUGGUGAGGCUCAAAUUCCCAAGCCUGGAGGACAACAUUGCUGCCCCCUCAAAAUCCAAGGCUGGGCCCGGUCUGGGAGGCGAAGCAGGAAGAGCACAGAGUUCCUGCGAGGUGGGCGCCCCUCGCAGCACCUCCCAGACCAGCACAGCUGCCUGCCAGCAGGUAGGCGAGGCAGGAGUGAGGAGGGUUUUUAGGCAAUUCUCCAUGUGUUUAUAG
rnacentral:lncRNA from 1 species